CUGGGAAGAGCAGAAGGUUUCAAGUUCCCUCCCUGGCUUCUCCAAGAUAGGGCUGAGAGAGAGUCCUGCCUGCAACCUUGCAGAAGCCACUGCCAGUCUGUGAAGACAUUACUGAGCUAGAUAGACCAAUGGUCUGACUCAGUAUAUGGCAGUUUCCUAUGUUCUAUGUUCCUAUGUCUUUUCUUCUGUCUACCUGGAGGAAGGUCAAGCUGCACAAAGAGAAUGCAGGAUCCUGCAAGGAAACAGCUGACUGUGAUGAGGGCAUAAUCAAGAAAGGCCUGGUCUCCACUUGGCCUAGCAGCCUUCCCUGAGCUGGGCCUGUGCCAAAGUAAAAGUGCCCAGGAGAAGGAGUGGGAAUCGGAAAAGAAUGAAGGCGAAGCAAGCAAUGGAGGAUCCUGAUAGCUGUGUCUCCUGAUCCAUACUACAGUCCUGUAAGUGUUGAAGAACCUCUUGAAUUUGUCUUCCCAGAAGAUGGAGAGGUAAGUCUGACUCCUACCACCUCCAGAGGCCAGACUGUCAGAGAGCUACAUAGGAAAAGACAGCAGUCCACAGAUAUCAAAGGUGUUGAAAAAGGAGCGUACUUCCUCUCUGUUGCUACUGAGCGCAGCACUGAACGCUGCCAAUACGAGAAUGCAGGUUUAGGCUAGGCAGUAGGAAUGCUUUCCCAAAUGGGAGAAGGGUUGCCAAGGUCACCUCAUGGAGUCCUGGGCUCCUCUUUGCUGAUGGUUUUCAGACAGAAGCCAGAUAACGAUGAUCUCCAAGGAGCCUUCCCACUCUAAAAUGCAAAGAUUCUGCUGUGAUCGUCACAUUGAGUCUGCAAGGGAUCUGCAAGUCCCGCCCCCCCGACACCCAGACUGAUUCUAUUUGCCCCCCAAGUUGACUGCAGUUAUGAGGAAGCAGAUUUAAGCUAAGCCUUGAGAAUAAUUUCCCACGGGAGAGAUGUCUGCAGAGGCACACACAACCAUCCCAAGUACAGAUAUAGAUAGUAUAGAGGUACACUCGCACAUAUACUUGUGAACACUUUUUUAAUGUCAAUAAUUGGUAAAGAGGGACCAGUGAUGCAUGGAUUUAUUUUUCUGAUUGAAUCCCUUCCUUUGAUGGGAGUUGCAGCCCAACAACAUCUGGGACCAAGUUUGAGAAUCUCUUGUCUGUUGGCUUCCCAGAGGCAUCCAGUGAGCCCCUAUGGGGAAACAGCAUGCUGGAUUAGAUAGGCCUUGGGUCUGAUCCAGCAGGGCUGUUAGGUUCUUAACAGUCAGGUAUGAUGGGAGUUGUAGUCCAACUUCUAUUUCCAGUCAUUCUCUUCAGCCUGACCUACUUUACAGGACUAUUGUGAGGAUAGAAGAAUUGCAUAUUUGGAGGUCCCGGCAGUAAGGGCAGAUAUAAAUUCCAGAAGCCAAGGGUUCUUAAAAUUGGGUCCCCAGAUGUUUUGGGACUAGAAUUCCCAUCAUCCUCAGCUACAAAACCUUGCAGGAGUAUUGCAUGUCUUGUUGAUCAAAAGGGAAUCAUGCAUGUUUGGAAUGGAAGGGUCCUUGUAAGAGCCCUGAAAAGUCAGAAGUUAGAUUACACAGAAGUUAUAUUAGAAGUUACAAAUAUUUUAAAGUUGAUGCUUAUGCUUUAUUUUAAAAAUAUUUAUAUAUUUCAUAUUGAAAAGACUCUUGGUUAAAACAACGCAGGGUUGUGUACAGCCCAUCGGAUCCCUCUACUACCUCUUGGUUUCUCCCAAGACGUGCUCAAGAGAGAUUUCCAUAGAGAUCUGCUUGCACAGACAUUACACUUUCAUCUUGCUUCUGAAUCCUUGCAAUAGCUGCCACUUGAAGCACUAGAGGGGUGGGGAGGGAUAGCUAUUCACAGCAAUUAGCCAAGAAGCUAGGGAUGACCCACCUGUAGCACAGCAGCUGCUGUUGGACUAGAACCCGCAUCAUCCCCAGCUGCUGUGUUGAGACUACAGAUGAUCACACCCAUCAAAACAGGUGGCUGGGGAUGGUAGAAGUUGUAGUAUGGUGGGAGUUGUAAUCCAACACAGUGAUAACAAAUAUAGUCCCCUGAUGCAAAUCCAUGGUGAAAAGCAUCGUGAAAGAAAGCAUCAGGGUUUGGGCAACAGCUUGUAUAAGAGGGCUGGAUAAAGAAAUCAACAUGAAAAUAGGAAGGUUGAAACUAAGGGCGAAUAAGGGAAGGCCAUUAAAGUAACACAUUGAUCUGAAUUUAAGAUGCUAUUACCCCAAAUGAUUUGAUGUUAAAACUCAGGGUCACGACGUAAAUUCAGAAUCCUGCUGUUUUAGGUAAGUAAAUGUUUAACAUAUAUUAAACUGCCACCCAUUCCUGGAGGGCCGGCUGCCCGUUGGUUCUUUCCUCCUGCCUCCCAAAUGACUUGAUGUUAAAAUUCAGGUUCAUGACAUAAAUUCAGAAUCCUGCUGUUUUAGGUAAGUAAAUGUUUUAACAUACAUUAAACUGCCACCCAUUCCUGGAGGGCCAUUCGCCCGUUUGUUCCCUCCUCUUGCCGGACCCCACAAGGCUUGGCGUUCCCUCCUCUUGCCGGACCCCACAAGGCUUGGCGUUCCCUCCUCUUGCCGGACCCCACAAGGCUUGGCGUUCCCUCCUCUUGCCGGACCCCACAAGGCUUGGCGUUCCCUCCUCUUGCCGGACCCCACAAGGCUUGGCGUUCCCUCCUCUUGCCGGACCCCACAAGGCUUGGCGUUCCCUCCUCUUGCCGGACCCCACAAGGCUUGGCGUUCCCUCCUCUUGCCGGACCCCACAAGGCUUGGCGUUCCCUCCUCUUGCCGGACCCCACAAGGCUUGGCGUUCCCUCCUCUUGCCGGACCCCACAAGGCUUGGCGUUCCCUCCUCUUGCCGGACCCCACAAGGCUUGGCGUUCCCUCCUCUUGCCGGACCCCACAAGGCUUGGCGUUCCCUCCUCUUGCCGGACCCCACAAGGCUUGGCGUUCCCUCCUCUUGCCGGACCCCACAAGGCUUGGCGUUCCCUCCUCUUGCCGGACCCCACAAGGCUUGGCGUUCCCUCCUCUUGCCGGACCCCAGCGGGUGGGGCAGCGGGUGGGGCUAUCUAUUCACAGCAUUUAGGCUCUGGCCGGGUGGAGUUGUGGUGUUAAGAGGGGGCAGGGCAGCAAACUGAUUCUCUACAGAGCAGACAUCCAAAAGCAAGAGAAAUGGCACAGAGGAAGCCGAGAGGCUAGAGAUUGCCCGACGCUUCCCAGCUCUUGUUGGAUUACAACUCCCAUCAUCCCCAGCUUCUCUUGUUCAGGACUACAGCUCCCAUCACCCCCUGCCAUAAAGCUUGGCUGGGGAUGAUAGAAGCUGUCCUCCAAUCACCCCCAGCCACCUUGUAUUGUGGCAUGAGUUGAUGGGAGUUCAACAACAGCUAGAAAACCUCAGGCUGGCCACACCUGCAAUAACAAAUACAGUCCCCUGAUGUAAAUCCAGAUCUUCUUAUGAAGAGAACCAUCACGUUUUGAGCAAUGGCUUGUUGGGGGGGCGGAUAAAUAAAUCAACAUGAAAACCAGGCAGUUGAAACAGAGGGUCGUGAAGAAAACACCACUUAAGUAGCUCACAUUUGUUUCCUUUUUCUUCUCUCUCCGCUAUACCAGCAAAGAAGAGCUUCCCUUUCAACAUCUAAGAAAGGAUCCCAUCCUGCUUCUGAUGCACUGUUAUCAACGCGAGUGCUGAGGGUUGCCUCGGCCGGGUAAAUAUGCAUUGACACAAUGACAAAUCUCUCCGGUGGCUGAGCGGAAUGGUGGGCCCUAGAGAAGGCAGGAAGAGGCUGAGGAGAGCAACCCCACAACAGAUGCCCAUUCCCUUUUUGACUAGGUUUGCAAAAGCCUCGUGUACACUCAAGGUCAUGAGGCUUUUGCAAAGAGGGGGCAUAGUUUCCCGGGAAACGACUUCACCCCAGGAGUGGAAUCCACACCUUAGUUUACAGAGCUCCCUUCAAACUAGUUACUGAAGUUGCAGCCCAGGUUUGCACCCGUUCCCUCUGUCCCAUCUCUUGAUUCCGAGUCUGGGUCCCCAACCCCCCUCCCUUCCCCUGGCUCUGCAUCCAGUGCGGGGUGCAAAUGUCACGUCCAGUCCUGGCAGGGUGCAAGAAACAAGGCUGGACCCCACAGUGAACCAUUCUGUAAGGCCAAGCAGGGGGGCAGAGGGUGCGCUAGUGAAAGCGAUCCCCGCCCUCUCUUGGCCUUCUGCAGGGACACCUCGGCAUCCACUCACCCCCCUCAAGUGACAGUGUGGGAUUAGCCGGUCGCCAUUUGGGGCCGAGUAGGAAUUUUCCCCAUCCACCCAGAUUGGCCUGGAGGUGGCUGGUUUUUUGCCUACUCUGCACUGUUGCACUGGACGGGAUUUCUGAUCUGGCGGAUGUUAGGAGUGGUGCCGCUAAAUAGUGUAGCCCCUUGGUCACCAUGGCAGGUCCGAGGAGGGGAUGUAGUGCCCCACCCCAUUGGUGGCAGGUGCGAUUUCCCCCAGCUACACUCUAGUUCUCUGCUAAAAUGAGUCAAUAAAGUGAUGGCCCUAGUUUCAACCCA